GUCUCUGUGGCGCAAUCGGUUAGCGCGUUCGGCUGUUAAUUGAAAGGUUGGUGGUUCAAGCCCACCCAGGGACG
rnacentral:tRNA from 3 species